rfam:Punica granatum cultivar Dabenzi scaffold171, whole genome shotgun sequence.
GGAUGAGCUGAUGAUGUUUAUGUUUCCCUAUUGGUUUGAUUGCCGUGAUGAUGGCAACGCAUCUGUAUUAGCUCUAUCUGAUCACCC